UACGAAGGGGACUAGCGUUGUUCGGAUUUACUGGGCGUAAAGCGCGCGUAGGCGGCUUUGUAAGUUAGAGGUGAAAGCCCGGAGCUCAACUCCGGAACUGCCUUUAAGACUGCAUCGCUUGAAUCCAGGAGAGGUGAGUGGAAUUCCGAGUGUAGAGGUGAAAUUCGUAGAUAUUCGGAAGAACACCAGUGGCGAAGGCGGCUCACUGGACUGGUAUUGACGCUGAGGUGCGAAAGCGUGGGGAGCAAACAGG
rnacentral:rRNA from 1 species